rnacentral:rRNA from 1 species
AGAAUCAACGCUGGCGGCGUGCCUAACACAUGCAAGUCGAACGAGAAAGUGGAGCAAUCCAUGAGUAAAGUGGCGACCGGGUGAGUAACACGUGACUAACCUACCUUCGAGUGGGGGAUAACCUCGGGAAAACCGGAGCUAAUACCGCAUAAUAUCCACGGAUCAAAGGAGCAAUUCGCUUGAAGAGGGGGUCGCGGCUGAUUAGUUAGUUGGCGGGUAAUGGCCCACAAGACAAUGAUCGGUA